rnacentral:rRNA from 1 species
UACGUAGGGGGCGAGCGUUAUCCGGAAUUACUGGGCGUAAAGCGCACGCAGGCGGUUCGCCAAGUUUGGAGUGACAGUUGUCGGCUCAACCGACAAAGGACUUCAAAAACUGGUGAACUUGAGGACGAGAGACGAACAUGGAACUCCAGGUGUAGUAGUGAAAUGCGUAGAUAUCUGGAAGAACACCAAUGGCGAAGGCAAUGUUCUGGCUCGUUUCUGACGCUCAGGUGCGAAAGCCAGGGGAGCGAACGGG